rnacentral:rRNA from 1 species
CGGCUAACUCCGUGCCAGCAGCCGCGGUAAAACGUAGGUCACAAGCGUUGUCCGGAAUUACUGGGUGUAAAGGGAGCGCAGGCGGGAAGACAAGUUGGAAGUGAAAUCCAUGGGCUCAACCCAUGAACUGCUUUCAAAACUGUUUUUCUUGAGUAGUGCAGAGGUAGGCGGAAUUCCCGGUGUAGCGGUGGAAUGCGUAGAUAUCGGGAGGAACACCAGUGGCGAAGGCGGCCUACUGGGCACCAACUGACGCUGAGGCUCGAAAGUGUGGGUAGCAAACAGGAUUAGAUACCCUGGUAGUCCACACCGUAAACGAUGAUUACUAGGUGUUGGAGGAUUGACCCCUUCAGUGCCGCAGUUAACACAAUAAGUAAUCCACCUGGGGAGUACGACCGCAAGGUUGAAACUCAAAGGAAUUGACGGGGGCCCGCACAAGCAGUGGAGUAUGUGGUUUAAUUCGACGCAACGCGAAGAACCUUACCCGGGCUCAAACGACGCAGGAAUGUUUUUGAAAGGAGGCAGCCCUUCGGGGCCUGCGUCGAGGUGCUGCAUGGUUGUCGUCAGCUCGUGUCGUGAGAUGUUGGGUUAAGUCCCGCAACGAGCGCAACCCUUAUGGUCAGUUACUACGCAAGAGGACUCUGGCCAGACUGCCGUUGACAAAACGGAGGAAGGUGGGGAUGACGUCAAAUCAUCAUGCCCUUUAUGACUUGGGCUACACGCGUACUACAAUGGCGUUAAACAAAGGGAAGCGAGAGGGUGACCUGGAGCGAAUCCCAAAAAUAACGUCCCAGUUCGGACUGCAGGCUGCAACUCGCCUGCACGAAGCUGGAAUCGCUAGUAAUCGCGAAUCAGAAUGUCGCGGUGAAUACGUUCCCGGGUCUUGCACACACCGCCCGUCA